CCUACGGGAGGCAGCAGUGAGGAAUAUUGGUCAAUGGGCGCUAGCCUGAACCAGCCAAGUAGCGUGAAGGAUGACUGCCCUAUGGGUUGUAAACUUCUUUUAUAUGGGAAUAAAGUGCAGUAUGUAUACUGCUUUGCAUGUACCUUAUGAAUAAGGAUCGGCUAACUCCGUGCCAGCAGCCGCGGUAAUACGGAGGAUCCGAGCGUUAUCCGGCUUUAUUGGGUUUAAAGGGAGCGUAGGCGGGUUGUUAAGUCAGUUGUGAAAGUUUGUGGCUCAACCGUAAAAUUGCAGUUGAUACUGGCAGCCUUGAGUACAGUAGAGGUAGGCGGAAUUCGUGGUGUAGCGGUGAAAUGCUUAGAUAUCACGAAGAACUCCGAUUGCGAAGGCAGCCUGCUGGACUGUAACUGACGCUGAUGCUCGAAAGUGUGGGUAUCAAACAGGAUUAGAUACCCCUGUAGUC
rnacentral:rRNA from 1 species